AAAUUGAAGAGUUUGAUCAUGGCUCAGAUUGAACGCUGGCGGCAGGCCUAACACAUGCAAGUCGAGCGGUAGCACAGAGAGCUUGCUCUCGGGUGACGAGCGGCGGACGGGUGAGUAAUGUCUGGGAAACUGCCUGAUGGAGGGGGAUAACUACUGGAAACGGUAGCUAAUACCGCAUAAUGUCGCAAGACCAAAGUGGGGGACCUUCGGGCCUCAUGCCAUCAGAUGUGCCCAGAUGGGAUUAGCUAGUAGGUGGGGUAACGGCUCACCUAGGCGACGAUCCCUAGCUGGUCUGAGAGGAUGACCAGCCACACUGGAACUGAGACACGGUCCAGACUCCUACGGGAGGCAGCAGUGGGGAAUAUUGCACAAUGGGCGCAAGCCUGAUGCAGCCAUGCCGCGUGUGUGAAGAAGGCCUUCGGGUUGUAAAGCACUUUCAGCGGGGAGGAAGGAA
rnacentral:rRNA from 1 species